CGUAAUAUUAUACAAAUAUGUUGUAAUCAACACAUACACAAAAAAUUUCUAAAAAACGAACCGUCAAAUAAGCCACAUAUUGGCAAAUCAAAACGAAUAAAGUAAACCUACUAGUGGCAAUCUUUAGUAAAGGUAAAUAUUCUUUACCAUGUUCAUCGAACAACGUGACAACAGCGCGUCUCUUUUAUUAUCAUCCGCAAACAACAUCAUUCAAGCAUGUGCAGUUCCAUGGGCAAUAAUCCUAAACCCAGCAUAAGUGCAUAAAUUCAUUUGCGUUCACCGCAUUACUAGCAGGAAAAUCUGCUCGUUCAACGUAAAAUUCCGACAACAAUUGUCUUUUCCAAGGAAAUGAUUCACGCUAUUUCGUAAACACGCACGAGGUGGCGCGCUCAGUGCGCAGGCCCGAGGACGACGUUGCCGAACGUCAUCCGUCAAAUUUUCCCUCUGUAUUCGAUGUGUGAACGAAGAUCUUGAAACGUUGUAUUGAACUUUUUCACCUUUCUGAUUGCGGCCACAAACUGUGUGAACGUUACCGAAUCGAGGGGCAAACAAAUCAUUCUACGAGGCUGUGUUAACAGGAAUAGAAAAUGAGGCCAACAGUCAGGUUGACGCCAGGUGGCGCUUCGGUGAAGUUAUUAUUUUGAACGAAACUCAUAUUUUUGAAAACAUAAUUUUAGGAUGUUUGCCAAUGACGUAAAUUAAGUUUAAGAAUUAGUUUAAUUUAAUGGUAUUUAUGACAGUUCAAAAAUAUAAAACCGGAAUUUUCAA